UGGGGAAUAUUGCACAAUGGGCGCAAGCCUGAUGCAGCCAUGCCGCGUGUGUGAAGAAGGCCUUCGGGUUGUAAAGCACUUUCAGCGAGGAGGAAGGUGGUGAACUUAAUACGUUCAUCAAUUGACGUUACUCGCAGAAGAAGCACCGGCUAACUCCGUGCCAGCAGCCGCGGUAAUACGGAGGGUGCAAGCGUUAAUCGGAAUUACUGGGCGUAAAGCGCACGCAGGCGGUUUGUUAAGUCAGAUGUGAAAUCCCCGGGCUCAACCUGGGAACUGCAUUUGAAAACUGGCAAGCUAGAGUCUCGUAGAGGGGGGUAGAAUUCCAGGUGUAGCGGUGAAAUGCGUAGAGAUCUGGAGGAAUACCGGUGGCGAAGGCGGCCCCCUGGACGAAGACUGACGCUCAGGUGCGAAAAGCGUGGGGAGCAAAACAGGAUUAGAUACCCUGGUAGUCCACGCUGUAAAACGAUGUCGAUUUUGGAGGUUGUGCCCUUGAGGCGUGGCUUCCGGAGCUAACGCGUUAAAUCGACCGCCUGGGGAGUACGGCCGCAAGGUUAAAAACUCAAAAGGAAUUGACGGGGUC
rnacentral:rRNA from 1 species